CGACUGGUUGAUCCUGCCAGUAGUCAUAUGCUUGUCUCAGAGAUUAAGCCAUGCAUGUCUAAGUAUAAGCGAUCUUAUACAGCGAAACUGCGAAUGGCUCAUUAAAUCAGUUAUAGUCUACUUGAUCGUAUCUUCUUACAUGGAUAACCGUAGUAAAUCUAGAGCUAAUACAUGCUAAAAAUCCUGGACGCGGCAACGCGGAAGGGACGAGUUUAUUAGAUUAAAAACCGACACCUCUCCGCGAGGGGAGGUAGCACAGGUGAUUCACAGUAACCGAUCGGAUCGGACGGCCCCGCCGACGACGAUGCAUACGAGUUUCUGCCCUAUCAACUUUAGAUGGUAGAGUAUCGGUCUACCAUGGUCGUAACGGGUGACGGGGGAUUAGGGUUCGAUUCCGGAGAGGGAGCCUGAGAAACGGCUACCCAAUUGGACGUAGCAGGCGCGCAAAUUACCCAAUCCCGACACGGGGAGGUAGUGACAAGAAAUACCAUUGUAAUGUCUCCUCGAGAGGCUUACGAUUGGAAUGAGUACAAUUUAAAUCCCUUAACGAGUAACGAUUGGAGGGCAAGUCUGGUGCCAGCAGCCGCGGUAAUUCCAGCUCCAAUAGCGUAUAUUAAAGUUGUUGCAGUUAAAAAGCUCGUAGUUGGAUUUCGGAAGGUCCUUAGCAGUCCGCCCCUUCGGGGAGCGGGCUGCUGGCCUCCUAUGUUCCUAACGGUCCUCAUCCCCGAGGGUGGGGAAUCAACCGCUAGGAUCGUUUACUUUGAGGAAAUUAGAGUGUUCAAAGCAGGCGUAACUCGCCUCCGAAUACGUUAGCAUGGGAUAAUGGAAUACGACUUCGGUCUUGUCCUUGAGGCCAGCUUGGCUGAAGUAAUGAUUGAUAGGGACAGUUGGGGGCAUUAGUAUUUAGUUGUCAGAGGUGAAAUUCUAGGAUUUACUAAAGACUGACCAAUGCGAAAGCAUUUGCCAAGGAUGUUUUCAUUAAUCAAGAACGAAAGUAGGGGGAUCGAAGACGAUCAGAUACCGUCGUAGUCUCUACCGUAAACUAUGCCGACCAGGGAUCCGGAGAGUUUGCAUGGAUGACUCCCCGGGCACCUUGUGAGAAAUCAUAAGUGUUUGGGUUUUGGGGGGAGUAUGGUCGCAAGGCUGAAACUUAAAGGAAUUGACGGAAGGGCACCACCAGGAGUGGAACUGCGGCUUAAUUUGACUCAACACGGGGAAACUUACGAGUUUGUGUGUCAGGACACUGUGAGGAUUGACAGAUUGAAAGCUCUUUCUUGAUUCAGUGGGUGGUGGUGCAUGGCCGUUCUUAGUUGGUGGAGUGAUUUGUCUGGUUAAUUCCGUUAACGAACGAGACCUCUCUGAUAACCUGCUAAAUAGUCACGCGAACCGGUCCGCAAGGGCUCAAAGUUCGCGGCUCGACUUCUUAGAGGGACUAUUCGCACCCGCCAGCGAAUGGAAGUUUGAGGCAAUAACAGGUCUGUGAUGCCCUUAGAUGUUCUCGGCCGCACGCGCGUUACACUGACGGAGUCAACGAGCGUUUUUCCUUGCCCGAUAGGGCUGGGUAACCUCCUGAAACUCCGUCGUGAUGGGGAUAGAUCAUUGCAAUUAUUGAUCUUGAACGAGGAAUUCCUAGUAAGCGCGAGUCAUCAACUCGCGCUGAUUACGUCCCUGCCCUUUGUACACACCGCCCGUCGCUCCUACCGAUUGAACGGUCCGGCGAGAGAGAACUCCGGAUGGUCGGUAGGAAGGGGUCAAACCCUGUGUCCGUGCCAGAAGCUGUUCGAACCUUACCGUUUAGAGGAAGGAGAAGUCGUAACAAGGUAUCCGUAGUGAACCUGCAGAAGGAUCAGGA
rnacentral:rRNA from 1 species